CCCUUCCCUCCAGAGAAUCCCUGGUCUCUACCCAAAUUUGUUUGAGAUCUAAUGUUUAUUUUGCUGUACAACUUUUCUGGAGUUUUACUUGCUUCCAACAAGGAAGGCAAGUUUUCCUGCUUCCAUGCUGAUGGUGGGCAGGUAACCCCCUUCUGGAGUUUCAGCCCUCUUCCAAGAGGGAGGGUGAGUUUGAGCUUUUUCCCGCUUCUAGGAUGGUAGAGAGCAGUCUUCAGUUUGAGCCCCAUUCCUUGGUAAGUAGCUGAAUUGGGUUUUUGUCUUGGCUAAAGUUAAGAUUAACAACCAGCUAGUCUUAAUUUCUCCUUAUAAUUAGAGUGCUCAGUAAUUGUAUAAAUUGUGUGAUCAUUUGUUUGUUUUGCUUAACUGUUUUUUGUUUUGUUUUUUUGUUUCUGUUUUUGUUGUUUCUGUCUCACUUUGUGGAGUCCUAAUUAGGGAAAAGGGGACAAGCUGGCGAGAUCAGGGGAAAGCAAAGAGAUAAAGCAGAUAAGCUAUAAUAGGUCUGCCUUUCUUUGUGGCCCAGGACACAAACAUUAUCUGUGCAGAUAAUGUACAACUCACACUCUUCCUGCUUAUCAGAUGGUUCCAUUUAUCAUCAAACACCUUGGCUGACAGAAAUGUUGCAAGUUAGCUCCUCUGCAACCUUGUCAUUAUCAGUACUACAUGUAGCACUCUGCAGCCCAAGAACCAGCUUAUAAAAUCUCCAGCAAGCCUUUGUUUUCUUGCAGUCACUUCCUCUCUUGCUGAUUCUGUUACUGGAAAGGGGUCCCAAUCCAAACCCCAAGAGACGGUUAUUGGAUCUCACGCAAGAAAGAAUUCAGGGGGAGUCCAUAAAGUGAAAGCAAGUUUAUUAGCAAAGUAAAGGAAGAAAGAAUGGCUACUCCACAGGCAGAGCAGCCCUGAGGGCUGCUGAUUGCCCAUUUUUAUGUUUAUUUCUUGAUUAUAUGCUAAAAAAGGGGUGGAUUAUUCAUGCCUCCCCUUUUUAGACCAUAUAGGGUAACUUCUUGAUGUUGCCAUGGCAUUUUUAAACUGCCAUGGCCCUGGUGGUAGUAUAGCAGUGAGGACGACCAGAGGUCACUCUCGUGUCCAUCUUGGUUUUGGUGGGUUUUGGCCGGCUUUGGCUUCUUUACGCAAACUGUUUUAUCAGCAAGGUCUUUAUGACCUGUAUCUUGUGCUGACCUCCUAUCUCAUCCUGUGACUAAUGCCUUCAUCAUCUGGGAAUGCAGCCCAGUAGGUCUCAGCUUCAUUUUACCCAGCCCCUAUUCAAGAUGGAGUUGCUCUGAUUCACACACCUCUGAUAAUUCUGCCCAUUGCUUUUUUGAAACAUAUUUUAAUACUUUCUCUAAUAAAUAUGCCUUUCUUUACCUACAACUGUCUUGGUAAAUUUUUUGUUUUGUUUUGUCUUUUGAGACAGAGUUUCUGUCACCCAGGCUGGAGUGCAGUGGCAUGAUCUUGGCUCACUGCAACCUCUGCCUCCUGGGUUCAAGUGAUUCUCUUGCCUCAGCCUCCCGAGUAGCUGAAAUUACAGGCAUGUGCCACCAUCCCAACUAAUUUUUGUAUGUUUAGUAGAGACGGGGUUUCACCAUGUUGGCCAUGCUGGUCUCAAACUCCUCAAGUGAUCCGCUGGCCUCGGCCUCCCAAAGUGCUGGGAUGACAGGCAUGAGCCACCAUGCCCAGCCAUGUUGGCCAGGCUGGUCUCAAACUCCUGACUUCAAAUGAUCUGCCUGCCUAGGCCUCCCUAAGUGCUGGGAUGACAGGCAUGAGCCACCACGUCCAGCCAAAUUUUUUUUUAAAGGAGCUCAAUGUUUAAAAGUCAGCUUAAUUAAAAGCUAAUAUUCAAGGUGUGUGUGUGUGUGUGUGUGUGUGUGUGUGUGUAUUUAAAAGGCCUUUGUGGUUUUCUUUUCUCUCCUAGGACCUUGUUUUGUUUUUUUCUUUUGUUCUUUCUUUUUUUUUUUGAGAAAAAGGUUUUUUUUUUCUUCUUAGUCAACUGAAUUCUGUUUUCUUCAUUUACUUCUGCUGUCUCUCCUUUCUCUUGCCACCCUCUGCUUCAUGAGGAAUCUAAAAUAGUUUCUAACAGCCUGAGAUUCCUUAAAGAAAACAGAGAAGGUGCCAGACUCCCUUUCGGGAAGAAAUCUCUGUUUUUCCUUAUGGAACCCCAAGAGUGUAAACAGGCGAGUUCAUCUCAGAUCUUAAACUGCUUGCUUUUGUAUUGUGUUACCUGAUUUUUUUUGACUAAAACAGUUAUUACAACAGAGGUUACUCUUGGGUGUUUAAAUCAAGGAAGAGUUUGGUUUAGACACUUAGAGAAAUGUCUUUGUUAAAAAAAAAAGUGCACUGUAAAAACAUCACAUGGUCUAGCCUCAUAAUAAUUGUCAGGCCUCUGAGCCCAAGCUAAGCCAUCAUAUCCCCUGUGACCUGCACGUAUACAUCCAGAUAGCCUGAAGCACUUGAAGAUCCACAAAAGAAGUGAAAAUAGCCUUAACUGAUGGCACUCCACCAUUGUGAUUUGUUUCUGUCCCACCCUAACUGAUCAAUGUACUUUGUAAUCUCCCCCACCCUUAAGAAGGUUCUUUGUAAUCUCCCCCGCCCUUAAGAAGGUUCUUUGUAAUUCUCCCUACCCUUGAGAAUGUAGUUUGUGAGAUCCACCCCCUGCCUGCAAAACAUUGCUCCUAACUCCACUGCCUAUCCCAAAACCUAUAAGAACUAAUGAUAAUCCCACCACCCUUUGCUGACUCUCUUUUUGGAUUCAGCCCGCCUGCACCCAGGUGAAAUAAACAGCCUUGUUGCUCACACAAAGCCUGUUUGGUGUUCUCUUCACGCGGAUGUGACAGACAUCUGGUGCCGAAGACCCGGGUCAGAGGGACUCCUUCAGGAGACCAGUCCCCUGUCCUCACCCUCACUCCAUGAAGAGAUCCACCUAUGUAUGACCCUGGGUCCUCAGACCAACCAGCCCAAGGAACAUCUCACCAAUUUCAAAUUGGAUCUUCUCGGCUCAGUGGCUGAAGACUGACGUUGCCUGAUCACCUCGGAAGCCUCCUGGACCAUCACAGACGCUUUGGGUAACUCUUACAGUGGAGGGAUACAAUUGAAGACACUGGUUAUUUUACCAAGGCUUUGAUUGGAAUGGCUUACUUUCAGAUAUAAAUCAACUGCUUUAAGGAAUCAAAGUUGACUUACAGAGUCAUAAAAGCCCCUUGGGAAAGCUGGCCUCAUGCCUUUCCACACAGUUCCUGUACAGUUUCCUGACGUGUGUUAUGCUGUGCUUUCUUAAAACCCUGUGAACUGAAGCUACACAACUUAAACUUCAGAAGAAAAUAACAGCAACCUAUAUGCCAGCCUACUGAUGUAUGAACUUCAGAGAAAAAUGGCUCUAUCUUUUCAUUUGUUUGUUGUUUUCUUUCUUUCUGUCCCUAUUUUCUGUUUGUAGAACAUGAUACUUUACAACCUGCUAAAAAUGAGCUUUUCUAAUAAUGUGAGACCUACCUGUCUAGAAUAGAUCAUCCUAGCUAUAAGUGAUCAGAAAAACCUGAGACUGGAGACUCAUUUUCUUCUAAAAUGCUCUUUCUGAAAGAUUUUAAAAAGAAACAGAAAAAAUGUGAAAGGAAAAUAAAUCUCGGAUUCCAAAAUCACUAAGCCAAGGGAAAAGUCAAGCUGGAAACUAUGUCAGGCGAACCUACCUCCCAUUUUAUUCCUAAAUAAGACAGCUACAAAGAUAAAAAAAAAAUCUCCCUCACAAUUUGCCCACAAGGAAAUUUCUUGUGGGCCUCAAGAUCUUUACCCUGAAACAGUUCUGUUGAAUUUCACCCUGGCAAUGUAAACUGAUAGCUUAUUUUCACAGAUGUGGGACAGGAAGUCAUCCCUCUGCUCACCUGAGACAAUUGCAUAUCCGAUUGCUUCCUGUGCCCUAUUGUUUAUGUAAAAAUGCAGAUACACUGAGACAGACUAAACUUUUUUUUUCUUUUUCUUUUUUUUUUUUUUUUUUUUGAGUCAGAGUCUCACCCUGUCACCCAGGCUGGAGUGCAGUGGUGCAAUCUCAGCUCACUGCAACCCUUGCCUUCCAGGUUCAAGUUAUUCUCCUGCCUCAGCCUCCCAUAUAACUGGGACUAUAGGCACAUGCCCUCAUGCCCGGCUAAUUUUUGUAUUUUUAGUAUAGGGGUUUCUCUAUGUUGGCCAAGGCUGGUCUCAAACUCCUGAGAGUGAGAGGUCCUGAGAGACCUCGAGUGAUCCACCCGCCUCAGCCUCCCAAAGUGCUGGGAUUACAGGUGUGAGCUACCAUGCCUGGCUCAGACUAAAUUGUGUAUUCAGUGAAAGGCUGAUCAAGGACUCAAAAGAAUGCAACCUUUUGUCUUUUAUCUACCUAUAACCUGGAAGCCCACCCUCACCCCCAUCCCACUUUUGAGUUGUCCCACCUUUCCUGACUGAGCCAAUGCACAUCUUACACAUAUUAUGUCUCAUGUCCCCCUAAAAUGUAUAAAACCAAGCUGUAUCCCAACCACCUUGGGCACAUGUCAUCAGGACCUCUUGAGGCUGUGUCAUGGGCGUGUCCUUAACCUUGGCAAAUUAAACUUUCUAAAUUGUUUGAGACCUGUCUCAGAUAUUUUGGGUUCAUAGGUGAUUCUUUUCCUGCUGGAACUGAUUGUAAGCAGGUAAAAGCAGCCACGCCACUUCUUGAAGGCUUUGCUGCUUAGAAAUUUCUUCCACCAGAUGUCCUAGGUCUUUACUCUUAAGUUUGACCUUCUACAGAGUCCUAGAGCAUGGAGACAAUGCAGCCAGUUCUUUGUUUAUACUAACAAGGUUUGGUCCAGUUCCUAAUAAAUUCUUAAUUUGUAUCUGAGAUGUCAGCUUGGCCUUUACUGUCUAUAUUUGUAUGAACAUUUUGAUCACAACCACUUAAUCAAUCUCUAAGAAGUUCCAAACUUUCCCUCAGGAAAAGUUUGCCCUGGCUGGUUUUGAACUCCUGGCUUCAAGUAAUCCUCCCACCUUGGCCUCUCAAAGUGCUGGGAUGACAGGCAUAAGCCACCAUUCUCAGCUGAUGCCUUCCAUUACUUGUUCUUGUUGAAUAGCUCUGGUUAGAACUUCCAUUACAAUAUUGAAUAGCAGGGCAUCCUUUUCUUGUUCCUGAUCUUAGGGGGAAAACUUUCAGUAUUUCAUCAUUGAUAUCCUGCUAGCUGUGGCUUUCUCAUAAAUGCUUUAUAUCGUGUUGGGAAAUGGUCUCUUUAUUCCUAGUUUUCUUAAUUUUUAUCAUUAAAAGGUUAGAUUUUGUUAAAUACUUUUUCUGUGUCAACUGAAAUGAUCAUUUGGUUUUUCCCCUUCAUUCUGUUAAUAUGAUGUGUUACAUGGAUUGAUUUUCUUAUGUGUAAUCACCCCUGCAUUCUUGGAAUAAAUUCCACUUGGUUAUGGUGAA